UGGGGAAUAUUGCACAAUGGGGGAAACCCUGAUGCAGCGACGCCGCGUGAGCGAAGAAGUAUUUCGGUAUGUAAAAGCUCUAUCAGCAGGGAAGAAAAUGACGUACCUGACUAAGAAGCCCCGGCUAACUACGUGCCAGCAGCCGCGGUAAUACGUAGGGGGCAAGCGUUAUCCGGAUUUACUGGGUGUAAAGGGAGCGUAGACGGCUGUGCAAGUCUGAUGUGAAAGGCAGGGGCUCAACCCCGGGACUGCUUUGGAAACUGUGGAUCUAGAGUGCCGGAGAGGUAAGCGGAAUUCCUAGUGUAGCGGUGAAAUGCGUAGAUAUUAGGAGGAACACCAGUGGCGAAGGCGGCUUACUGGACGGUAACUGACGUUGAGGCUCGAAAGCGUGGGGAGCAAAACAGGAUUAGAUACC
rnacentral:rRNA from 1 species